rnacentral:tRNA from 1 species
AAGGCUUUAUCUUAAUUAAAGAAUCUGAGUUGCAUUCAGAAGAUGUGGGUUAAUGUCUCGCAGGUCUUA